rnacentral:lncRNA from 1 species
GCUUGCUCAAGAAAUUGACCAACUCCGUCUAAAAGAUAACCAGCGUGUUCAGAGUUGGCUUCAUAAAGCUGCAUGAGGAUAUUCUUGAGCCAGUCUCUCAUCCGUAGAGGAAACUGAAUCACUUCAAAGUCCGUACAAGUAGGAAUAGCUGUUACAAGCAGAAAAUGUACUGUAAUCUUUGGGCUUAUUUGUGUCCUAUGGCAAGUCCUCAUAAUAGGAAGCUUAACGACUUCUGGCAACUGACAGAGCUUUCUCAGGUCCCCAUUAUUAUGACAGUGGUCCUCAGCCCUGGCAGCAGCACAACAAAAUUGCCUGGGGUUUUAAAAAACAUACCAAAUGCCAGCUUCCAAUCAAGUAAAUUCUGAUGUGAUUGGUCUGGCGUGAAGUCUGGGCAUCAGGAUGUUUUUAAAGCUCCAAGAUCUAUUUGGAUGUGCAGCUAGGCCCCAGAAUCACUGCUGUAGAAUCAGAGUUGAAAUUUGUAGGUGGAGGGCACAAGUGCUAUUGAAUAGAGAAAAAGGUAGCUAUUAGCUGAUACUACAGUAAGAAAUAAUGCUAAAUCUCAGUGGCUUAAAGAAACAGAAGUCAAUUUUGCAAUCCUGCUACAAGUCCAAUACAAGUUGGCAGGAGGGCUCUGCUCAUUGCAGUCUCCCCAGAGCUCAGGAUCACUGCCGUUUUUUUUUUUUUUUAAUUAUACUUUAAGUUCUGAGAUACAUGUGCAGAAUGUGCAGGUUUGUUACAUAGGUAUACACAUGCCAUAGUGGUUUGCUGCACCCAUCAACCCAUCAUCUACAUUAGGUAUUUCUCCUAAUGCUAUCCCUCUCCUAGUCCCCCAGCCCCUGACAGGCCCUGGUAUAUGAUGUUCCCCUCCCUGUGUCCAUGUGUUUUCACUGUUCAACUCCCACUUAUGAGUGAGAACAUGCAGUGUUUGGUUUUCUGUUCCUGUGUUAGUUUGCUGAGAAUGAUGGUUUCCAGCUUCAUCCAUGUCUCUGCAAAGGACAUGAACUUAUCCUUUUUUAUGGCUGCAUAGUAUUCCAUGGUGUAUAUGUGUCAUAUUUUCUUUAUCCAGUCUAUCACUGAUGGGCAUUUUGGUUGGUUCCAAGUCUUUACUAUUGUGAACAGUGCUGUAAUAAACAUAUGUGUGAAUGCAUCUUUAUAGUAGAAUGAUUUGUAACCCUUUGGGUAUAUACCCAGUAAUGGGAUUGCUGUAUCAAAUGGUAUUUGUAGUUCUAGAUCCUUGAGGAAUUGCCACACUGUCUUCCACAAUGAUUGAACUAAUUUACUCCCACCAACAAUAUGAAAGCGUUCCUAUUUCUUCACAUCCUCUCCAGUAUCUGUUGUUUCCUGACUUUUUAAUGAUCGCCAUUCUAACUGGUGAGAGAUGGUAUCUCAUUGUGGUUUUGAUUUGCAUUUCUCUAAUGACGAGUGAUUAUGAGCUUUUUUUCAUAUGUUUUUUGGCUGCAUAAAUGUCUUCUUUUUGAGAAGUGUCUGUUCAUAUCCUUCACCCACUUUUUGAUGGGGUUGUUUUUUUCUUGUAAAUUUGUAUCUGUUCCUUGUAGAUUCUGGGUAUAAGCCCUUAGUUAGAUUGACAGAUUGCAAAAAUUUUCUCCCAUUCUGUAGGUUGCCUGUUUACUCUGAUGAUAGUUUCUUUUGCUGUGCAGAAGCUCUUUAGUUUAAUUAGAUCCCAUUAAUCAAUUUUGGCUUUUGUUGCCAUUGCUUUUGGUGUUUUAGUCAUGAAGCCUUUGCCCAUGCCUAUGUCCUGAAUGGUAUUGCCUAAGUUUUCUUCUAGGGUUUUUAUGGUUUUAGGUCUUAUGUUUAAGUCUUUAAUCCAUCUUGAGUUAAUUUUUGUAUGAAGUGUAAGGAAGGGAUCCAGUUUCAGUUUUCUGCAUAUGGCUAGCCAGUUUUCCCAGCACCAUUUAUUAAAUAAGGAAUCCUUUCCCCAUUGCUUAUUUUUGUCAGGUUUGUCAAAUAUCAGAUGGCUGUAUAUGUGUGGCAUUAUUUCUGAGCCAUCUGCUCUGUUCCAUUGGUCUAUAUAUCUGUUUUGAUACCAGUACAAUGCUGUUUUAGUUACUGUAGCCUUGUAGUAUAGUUUGAAGUUAGUUAGCGUGAUGCCUCCAGCUUUGUUGUUUUUGCUUAGGAUUGUCUUGGAUAUAUGGGCUCUUUUUUGGUUCCCAACUUUAAAGUAGUUUUUUUCUAAUUCUGUGAAGAAAGUCAGUGGUAGCUUGAUGGGGAUAGGAUUGAAUCUAUAAAUUACUUUGGGCAGUACAACCAUUUUCACGAUAUUGAUUCUUCCUAUCCAUGAGCAUUUGUUUGUGUCCUCUCUUAUUUCCUUCAGCAAUGGUUUGUAGUUCUCCUUGAAGAGGUCCUUCACAUCCAUUGUAAGUUGUAUUCCUAGGUAUUUUAUUCUCUUUGUAGCAAUUGCAAAUGGGCAUUCACUUAUGAUUUGGCUCUCUGCUUGUCUGUUAUUGGUAUAUAGGAAUGCUUGUGAUUUUCGUACAUUGAUUUUGUAUCCUGAGACUUUGCUGAAGUUGCUUAUCAGCUUAAGGAGAUUUUGGACUGAGAUGAUGGGGUUUUCUAAAUAUGCAAUCAUGUCAUCUGCAAACAGGGACA